AGGAAUGUUAUCAUUUUAAUAUGGUAGCAGUUUGAUUACUUUAUUUUUUAUUUAUAGAAAACCUAAAUUACUUUGGAUUGAUAGAUAGACAACAGAGGGCUGAAAUUGCUCUUCUCUGGGAAGCUUUUCAAUGAAGGAGGUUUAGUGUCAAGGCCUAAAAUAGUGCUACCUGCUAUCUUCAUUCACGUAAGUAAUCCUUACUCACAUGAGUAGCCCCAUUGAAGCCAGUUUUGUCAUUCAAAGCACUAAACACAGCAUCACUUCUCAAAUGGCUACUCUUGCAUUCGCUUCAAGGAUAACCAGUAUGUCUCUUGAGCAAAAAUGUAAUUUUAUUUAUAUGCCUUCAUAUUACUUCAGCCAAUCUUUAAAUUUCACAACUACAGCUAUAUCAAUUCAACUCUCCCAACUAUGGCUAUAUCAUUUCAAUGCUGAUAUAAAAAAAAAAUCUUAGAUAUGAGAUGGCAAUAACUGUAUUUGCUUAGCUUAGAAUGGAGAAAUUAGAUGUGAUAGUAUUCGUUUAAGUAUUUAAGUAUGGACCCUGAAAAUAUGUAGUGCUAUAACAAUAUUAAAAAUAAAUCAAAUCACAAACUUUAAUCCUUUAGGGCACAAGCCAAAUGCCACGGGAAGUCAGGGCAAGUUGCCCUGUCCCUAAGGGCAAACUGUCCUACUUAAGCAGGUUUCUUGUACCAGAACUGGAAGUCAGAACCACUGGUCUAUACAACUAGACAAUUUCCAUGUUCCUAACAUAUAAGGAGUCAUCUGAAAACUCUUUGCCUCUCUUCCUAUCACCUUCAAAAUUAGUAAUUACAAGAAAAUGAAGUCUUUUCUUUACAUGUCUUCAUGUUACCACAGCCAAACUUUAAAUUUCACAACUAUGGCUAUAAUAAUUCAACUCUCACAAUUAUGGCUAUAUCAAUUAAACUCUCAUCAUUUUUUUUCUCCCUGAAAACCUCCACAUGAGAAAGAGAUUGGCAGGGGAAUGGACUAGAUCUGGCCCCUGGCUCUACAUCAUUCAGGCCACAGGGCUCCCUGUAGACCAGGGCCUUGCUCAUCAGACUGAAUGCAGAGGGGUGGCAUGGGGCCUGGUCUGGAUGUAUAGGGCCAAAACCUUGAGCACCACUAGACUAGAGGACCUUUUUUCCAAGAAUGUUCCUUGGCUCAUCCUUUAUAAAUGCACUGCCAUGGGCAGUGGCAAUGAAGGACAGAUUUCUCCAUGUAUGUAGGUCUGUGACAGGGCACCCUAACCCUGUCACAAGGAAGAAGGUGCACCCCUAUAAGGCCAGAACCUUCUGGGCAUGGAGGGCUGGUGAGGAAGGAGUUAACUGCUGAACUGGGACGGCUAGUCAGGUGACCGGAAAAGGCAGGACUAUAAAAACCCUGGGUUGAACAGCAGAAAGGAAGUGAGCAGCCAACGGGGAAGCAGUGCCCCUGAGAGCUCCAGGAAGAAGUUUGGAAAGCGGUCCACGGCAGGAAGGGGGAAGCUACUGAAGCCCCUGUGAGACGACGACUGCAUCCACAAACAGGACUGAAGCCAGUGGUACGGAGCCGAGACUCAAAGAGAGUUCAUAUGCAGACACCAGCACUGUAUGGAGAGCUCCAAGAACUGGUCUUGCAAGUUCUGUUUACAGUGGGAUGCAUGACACUUCACCUACUGAGUACAGAGGCUCCAUUUCCUACAAUUUGCAAUCUAAACAGACCACAACAAGGCAGGACCCUGGGUGAGGUAACAGCAAGGAGAGAGCAAGAAAAUACACAAUGAAUAGUACAGGUGGAUGCUGCAUGCCAGACCCACCCACCAGGAUAUGCAGCAUAUAUAGGUAAUUUCAAAAAUAUCCUACCGACUUUGGGGGAGGUGAAGAGGGUGGUGUUUGGACUGUGGGCCAAAACCUGUCCUUUUUUUUUUUCCCCCUGCAGAAGACUUUUGAGAAAAGAGAUUGAAAAGAAUGAAAAAAUGAAAGAACAGAGUAAAUAAUAGUAGAAUAGAAAUAGAUAUACAUACAAUAAUUAGUUAUUGUCUAUUUAUAAGUAAAUAGUGUAUAUAUAGGGUGCAGGGAAGGAAAUUCUACAUUCCUUUUUUUCUACUUUUGUACUACUUUGCAAUUUAUUUAUUUUUUUAAAACAAUUACUCCUUUUUAUGAAAAAAUCAUGUACA